UGAACGCUGGCGGCGUGCCUAACACAUGCAAGUCGAACGGUAAGGCCCCUUCGGGGGUACACGAGUGGCGAACGGGUGAGUAACGCGUGGGUAACCUACCCAGAAGUGGGGGAUAGCUCCGGGAAACCGGAGAUAAUACCGCAUACGUCCCAGCCGACGCGAGUUGGUUGGAGGAAAGGCGGGGAUCUUCGGACCCGUCGCUUCUGGAUGGGCCCGCGUCCGAUUAGCUUGUUGGUGGGGUAAUGGCCUACCAAGGCAUCGAUCGGUAGCCGGCCUGAGAGGGUGAUCGGCCACAUUGGGACUGAGACACGGCCCAGACUCCUACGGGAGGCAGCAGUGGGGAAUUUUGGGCAAUGGGGGAAACCCUGACCCAGCGACGCCGCGUGGGGGAUGAAGGUUUUCGGAUUGUAAACCCCUGUCAGGUGGGAAGAAAAGCUUGUCGGUUAAUACCCGGCAGGAAUUGACGGUACCACCAAAGGAAGCCCCGGCUAACUCC
rnacentral:rRNA from 1 species